UCCCUGGUCCAAUGGUUAGGAUUCAGCACUUUCACUUCUGUGGCCUGGGUUCAAUCCCUGGUCAGGGAA
rfam:Ovis aries breed Texel chromosome 1, whole genome shotgun sequence.